UACGUAGGGUGCAAGCGUUAUCCGGAAUUAUUGGGCGUAAAGAGCUCGUAGGCGGUCUGUCGCGUCGGCUGUGAAACCCCGAGGCUCAACCUCGGGCCUGCAGUCGAUACGGGCAGACUAGAGUUCGGUAGGGGAGACUGGAAUUCCUGGUGUAGCGGUGAAAUGCGCAGAUAUCAGGAAGAACACCCGUGGCGAAGGCGGCCACCUGGGCCGACCCUGACGCUGAGGCGCGAAGGCGUGGGGAGCGAACGGG
rnacentral:rRNA from 1 species